GACGAACGCUGGCGGCGUGCUUAACACAUGCAAGUCGAACGGAAAGGCCCUGCUUUUGUGGGGUGCUCGAGUGGCGAACGGGUGAGUAACACGUGAGUAACCUGCCCUUGACUUUGGGAUAACUUCAGGAAACUGGGGCUAAUACCGGAUAGGAGCUCCUGCUGCAUGGUGGGGGUUGGAAAGUUUCGGCGGUUGGGGAUGGACUCGCGGCUUAUCAGCUUGUUGGUGGGGUAGUGGCUUACCAAGGCUUUGACGGGUAGCCGGCCUGAGAGGGUGACCGGCCACAUGGGGCCUGAGAGACGGACCAGACUCCUACGUGCGGCAGCGGUGGGGAGUAUUGCACAGUGGGCGGAAGCCUGAUGCAGCAACGCCGCGUGCGGGAUGACGGCCUUCGGGUUGUGAACCGCUUUCGCCUGUGACGAAGCGUGAGUGACGGUAAUGGGUAAAGAAGCACCGGCUAACUACGUG
rnacentral:rRNA from 1 species